rnacentral:lncRNA from 1 species
GGUUACGGCGACGACCUCUAAAGGCUUUAUUCCGUGUUGGACUUUCGACGCAGAUACAUCGGAGCGGUACGCAGUAAAACGAAAUUAAUAAGAAGAAGAAGAAGGGGGAGGAGGAGAAAAGUACUCACCGUCUGGCACCGCGUGGCUGGUCAUCAAGAAAUUAACGCAGGCCGCCCCUGUACCGUGUCCAAUCAACGUCACGUUCCUAGGAUCGCCGCCGAAGUUGCCGAUGUUCUCCUGCACCCAAUGGAGCGCCGCGAUUUGAUCCAUCAGACCGUAAUUCGCCGGCGAGCAGUUUGCGCAUCGGGGGGAGGGAAAAAAAAAAAAAAGAAAGAGAGAAGAGCCUCGUUGGAACAAAGGGAGAAGUUUCGAAAAUGGGAUGGGAUGGAGAGAAACAGAGGUAACGAUAAUUCAACUGCGUACAGUAAGUCAAACUUCCGAAUGAUAACUUGGAACAUCUGUUGCGAUACUUAGCGAAGCAAUAAAGAGUUUAAUGAGUUUCGGUGUUCGAGUUAAACUUUCCUACCGGCUACCCAGUUAAGAAGCUUUAACUUGAAAAGCUCGGUCUUAUUGGACUACAAUGAUUGGAACCGACGGUGAAAAGAUGCGUGAAACAACAUCGGGAAAAGAGAAAAAAGGAAAGGAAGAAAAAGAGCAGCUUUUUUUUUUUUUUCAAAUUGAACAAAAGAAGAAAACGAAUUCGUUUUCGUUUCGUUUCGAACGAGUUUGGAACGAAUAAACAAAUAAGAGAGAAAAGAGGGGCGCGGAGGAAGGUUCCUUUCAAAAAUUCGGACAAUACACUCGACACGACUCGAUUCGCACCCUUAACCAUUUUAUCCCCCCAGCGAUUGCUCGUUCGCGCGGCGAUAAACGGAAUGACUUCUCUCUUGGAAAUUCCUUUCGACCGAUCCACCCCCCGCUUUGUCCCCUCGGCGCUCGCAUUUUUCCACCACUGUCGACGAGCUAGCCGAAUUAUCGGUUUGGCACCGGUUCCGGGGAAACAGGCGGUGGGAUGACGUUGACCUAUUUCGCUCAUCCGUGAACGAAGAUUCUUUUUGCGGAAAACUGAUGCGAGACCAGGAACGUACGUCACGCGGACGGAUCUCUCAGUAUCGUGGAUUCGAAGGAAAAAGGUUUCUCGUUUGGUUUCGGAUUGAGUAGAAUAAUUUCGAAUCUUUGCGAAAUUUUUGGCGAACG